AAAAUUGCAUAAUUAACAGGAAAUCCAUGACCAAAGUACAUAUUUAUGCUAUGGUAAUACGUAGACAGUGGAGACAGGAUAGUCACAGUUCUAUGUGCCACCUCAGGUCUGACUGACAGAACGUAUUGGAUUGACGUGAGUGACCAAGACUCUGAGGGGGACUGGCGCACUUCCUCAGGUCUGUCUAUACCCAUGGGUACACCAUUCUGGAAGGCGGAUACUGAAUUCCAGGAGCCAAAUAACGUUAAAAAUUAUGAAAUUGCUUGGAGAUGAACAAUAAAUAUUCAUUUUUCAUGAAUGAUAUUGGCUGCUCUGAUCUGUUGUCGCUAAUAUGUGAACAACCACCACAAGAUACUGCAAACCACAACAUGACAGCAGUAGCAGCAGUGCAGAGGUGCAGGACUAUCCCUCCUUUGUGAGUGUGGGCGGCCUCUGUCUCUCCUUCAUGACGUGGGUGGAAGAGUCGUGGGAGGAGUCACGUCAGGCUUGUCAUGGCUUGUCAGGGGAGCUGGCUGCUGUUACUGACAUUGAACAACUGAGAGCUAUAUACCUGUACCUGCACCAGGAAGGGAUCGCUGGUCAUUC